rnacentral:rRNA from 1 species
GCAUAUCAAUAAGCGGAGGAAAAGAAACCAACAGGGAUUGCCCCAGUAACGGCGAGUGAAGCGGCAACAGCUCAAAUUUGAAAUCUGGCCCCCCGGCCCGAGUUGUAAUUUGGAGAGGAUGCUUUUGGCGCGGCGCCGUCCGAGUUCCUUGGAACAGGACGCCACAGAGGGUGAGAGCCCCGUACGGACGGACGCCUAACCUUUACAAAGCUCCUUCGACGAGUCGAGUAGUUUGGGAAUGCUGCUCAAAAUGGGAGGUAAAUUUCUUCUAAAGCUAAAUACCGGCCAGAGACCGAUAGCGCACAAGUAGAGUGAUCGAAAGAUGAAAAGCACUUUGAAAAGAGGGUUAAAAAGUACGUGAAAUUGUUGAAAGGGAAGCGCCUGUGACCAGACUUGCGCCCCGUGGACCAUCCGGCGUUCUCGCCGGUGCACUCUGCGGGGCGCAGGCCAGCAUCGGUUCUCCUAGGGGGAUAAAGGCCGCGGGAACGUAGCUCCUUCGGGAGUGUUAUAGCCCGUGGUGGCAUGCCCCUGGGGGGACCGAGGACCGCGCUUCGGCAAGGAUGCUGGCGUAAUGGUCACCAGCGACCCGUCUUGAAACACGGACCAAGGAGUCAAGCAUUGGGGCGAGUGUAUGGGUGCCAAACCCGCACGCGAAAUGAAAGUAAACGCAGGUGAGAGCUUCGGCGCAUCAUCGACCGAUCCUGAUGUCUUCGGAUGGAUUUGAGUAAGAGCCUUACCGCUUGGACCCGAAAGAUGGUGAACUAUGCCUGAAUAGGGUGAAGCCAGAGGAAACUCUGGUGGAGGCUCGCAGCGGUUCUGACGUGCAAAUCGAUCGUCAAAUUUGGGCAUGGGGGCGAAAGACUAAUCGAACCAUCUAGUAGCUGGUUACCGCCGA